UCCUUCUCUUUAAAGCACUCUGCUAAAACUGCAAAAGCCAGGCCCAAAUGGGUUUGGCUCAUGUGGCCGUGUAAGCAUGGGUACACCAGGGAAGGAGAGAAAAGGCACAGUAUCUGAAAUGAGGCAUGGAGGGACCUCUUUCUAAAUGUCCAGUGUCCUUUGUCUCAGGAUCCUGUGUUACAAAU